AUUGAACGCUAGCGGGAUGCCUAAAACAUGCAAGUCGAACGAGUGGCGGACGGGUGAGUAAUAUAUCGGAACGUGCCCUGUAGCGGGGGAUAACUACUCGAAAGAGUGACUAAUACCGCCUACUAUUGGAGCGGCCGAUGUCGGAUUAGCCAGUUGGUUGGGUAAAGGCUCACCAAGGCAACGAUCCGUAGCUGGUUGGAGAGGACGACCAGCCACACUGGAACUGAGACACGGUCCAGACUCCUACGGGAGGCAGCAGUGGGGAAUAUUGGACAAUGGGGGAAACCCUGAUGCAGCCAUCCCGCGUGUAUGAGAAGGCCUUCGGGUUGUAAAGUACUGUUGGCAGAGAAGCGGUAUCUGCAGAAUAAGCACCGGCUAACUACGUGCCAGCAGCCGCGGUAAUAC
rnacentral:rRNA from 1 species